GUGCUCACUUCAGCAGCACAUAUACUAAAAUUGAAAUGAUACAGAGAAGAUUAGCAUGGCCCCUGCACAAGGAUGACAUGCAAAUUUAUGAAAUGUACUGUAUUUAA
rnacentral:snRNA from 1 species